rnacentral:rRNA from 1 species
CACGUAGGGCGCGAGCGUUGUCCGGAAUUAUUGGGCGUAAAGAGCUCGUAGGCGGCCUGUUGCGUCCGCUGUGAAAGCCCCGGGCUUAACCUGGGAAUGGCCAUGGAAACUGGCGAACUGGAGUGUGGCAGAGGGGGGUGGAAUUCCGCGUGUAGCAGUGAAAUGCGUAGAGAUGUGGAGGAACACCAGUGGCGAAGGCGACUCUUUGGUCUGUAACUGACGCUGAGGCGCGAAAGCGUGGGGAGCAAACAGG